CGCACCGCUCUGAUUUCAUUAUUUCCUUUACAAUUAUCAAAUCAACUCCGCUUCCGAGGGAGGGCACUUCGCUUAACUCGGACAGCGCCGCGCCCCGCCCGCCGCCGCUCCGUCUCCGGGCACCGGGCGGCCUCCAAACCCCUCCUGGGGGGAGGAAGGGGGUAGAAGCAAUAAAAGAAAAAAAAAGAAAAGAAAAGGGAAAAAAAGAAAAAAAAAAGAAAAAGAGGAAAAAAAAUCCCACCGCCUGCGCUCGGUACACACGCACCUACUCGGCCGAUGACGGAGCAAAUGAAAGUUUCAUUCUUUUUGGCCCCCCAAAAAUGCCCCUCGAAGCUCUCGGAAAGAGCGGAGGGCACCGAUUCGUCCCUCGGCUCCGUCCGCACAGCGCUCCCCCCGCCCCGCGUUGUGCCGCUGCUCCGCGUCCCGGAGCGCUUCCCGGAGCCCUUCCGCGGUGUCUGCGCGGAGCGGACGCGCCCCAGGUACGGCGCUGACAUUGAUGUCACCGCAUUAGAGUUAAUGGCAGCAGCCUGCUCCUCAUUAUUAAUUGUCUUUGUGUUUGGAUAAAGUAUGUAAUCUUCUCCUCAACCACACCAUUAAAAUAGGUUGCCUUUUCAAUUAAGAACUGUCUUGAGCGCAGCAGUCAAUUUUCCUAAUGAAGAUGCAUUAUAUUUUCACUUUUUUUUUUUCCUUUCUUUUUAAUAAUGGGAAAAUCCCACGUUUUCAUUAGGCGUGAUUAGGGAGAAAGUAAGAGAGGCGGUUUGGCUGAACUCGAUGCGGCCCGUGCGGUGUAUUAAGCGCUUUUAAAUAAAUUGCAAUUUCCUAGAGCCGAGGAGCGGGUUGGGGUACACAUACGGCCGCGUUCGCUUCCUUCAGAUUAAUAAAAUGCGAAGCCCUUUCUUUAAAGCGCACUCAUCAGAUGGAAAAUAGUGAUUAAACCAACUCCAGCCCACUCUUAGCCGCAAUUACUCGGGUAAACUUUUCGCCCAGCCCCGCUCGCUUCGUAUUAAACCUGAGGAUGAUGCUCUGCGAUAGACUUGCUGCUAAUGUGCGGCUUUGGGGAGCAAAUAGCGCGGUUUAAUCACGCAGAAACGCAUCGGGAUGGGCUCGGCAUUAAUUUCCCCAAAUAAACGCGCAUUGUUUCAUACGGAGCUCCCACCGGAGAACGGCAGCCCCGGGGCUUUGGAAAGGAGGAAGGUUUGGGGGGACUCGGAGGGGUAAAAAGACGCUGGAAAAAAAACCAGAAAUUGCACAGCGUGGAAGCAAAGGGUUAAAUUUUACAUGAUGGAAAACACUUAAAAAAAAAAUCAACCAAAGAAAUGAAAAGAGAAGGAGAAAAGAAAGGGAGGGGGGGAAGAAAAGAGGGGGGGAGAAAAAAAGCGCUACGGGAAAAAAGAAAGUGCGGUGUUUGCGCGCUGCGGGGGGACGGGCGUGGGUAGCAGCGCGGUGCUGCGCUCUGGGACCUUUGUUAGGGACAAACGGAGAGGAGGGGAACCCAUCGGCACCGACCGCUUCGGGAAGGGGAAAAAAACCCAUCACUGCGCCCUUCGGUUUUCAAGUUUGGCGAACCAACAGCACCGCUGCCUGCAGAGGGGAACGGAGUUGGGCUUAAGGGUAAUUUCUGAUCCGCAUGGCAACAACAACAACAGUUGCAGCGAUCAGCCCCGGCGGGCAAAGACACGCGGCGAUAACACCACUUCGGAACGGUCGCGUUAGGCAGAAGGGUCGGAAAUUACAGCGGGGGAAGGAGAGCAGAGAGGGGAAAGAGAGGGGAGAAAGAGCGCUACGAGAGAGCGAAGGGAUGGAGCCGAACCCGACUGGCAUCGGAAGUUGAGGAACUUACUGAGCAGCAGAAGUUACAGUUCCUUUCCAUCCCGGGAGCUGAUCUGGGGGUUCUCUGAGCACAAAAGUCGCUCCCCGUUGAGCCCGAGUUAGUGCGGCUCUGUAUACCUGCCCGGAGCUGCUAUCCGAACGGAGCGCAGGAGGUCGGAAAGGGGUUUGGUCGCAUUGGCUGUUUUGUUUGGUUGUUUUUGUUGGUUUUUUUUUCUUUUUCCCUUCCUUAAAAAAUAAUUAAAAAUAAAAUAGUAAUUAAAAAAAAAAAACAGUUCCUACGGCUGCCACUUUUUUUUUUUUCUUUUUUUUUUUGCUUGUUUGGGGGCAACUUUUCCUGAGGCUGAAGGCGGAAUGCGGCUGCAAAGUGCGUGUAGGAUCGCUCCGGGAUGAAGGCUUCCCCCUAUUUUUCCCCCUCUCCGAUCCGAUCUUUGCGAGAGCCAUUCCGACACAUCGCUAAGCUAAAGGGAAAUUCUCUUUGAUAAAGCGGUGUUCCCAGCUUCUGGGUUUUAAAACCUAAAUCUAUAUUCAAAUCUGGCUGAAGGUGUGUUCUGGGAUUUAUGAAAGCCUCUUAAAGGGGUAAAUUUACCAAACCGUGACAAAAUCAUCACAAUCUUACUUUAGACAUCUGAAGUGGAUGGGAAUUUUAAAGAGACCCCUCGUUGCUUUCGGUCGCACCGUCCAUCCCCACCGCUCGCUCCAUUGGCCGCGGGGUCGGUCCCAACUUUGGGGCCGGGGCGGGCAGCGCUGUGCCCGCGGGCGGCCGCCCCACGGCGCUCGGGUGGACGCAGGGAUGAUGCUCCCAUCUCCCCGUUCCAUUCCCAAGCAUUGAAUUUUCUUUC
ensembl:lncRNA